AGAAACAGAAUCUUGCACAUUUGAAUGUGUUACCUUUCCUUCCUCUUUUGUCUCCAUGAAAAUUUGGGAAUCCACUUCAGAAGCCAAGACCAGUUGGUUGGCAUUAUGUUCCCCCAGCAGAACAAGCCGUUGCAUAAAGGAGUUGAGCAAUUCAUUUGCAGCAUUGCCAGAUGGGUUCAUUCCUAUCCCAGGAGUUGAAAAAAAAAAUUUAACCUGCUUUUCUAUUCUUCACGGUCACGAAGGGAUCCAAUUUACGAAGACUUUCCAAACCACCUAUUGUAAAAGUAUCUGCAUGGUAUGAGGAAAAGAUCAAAUUAUAUGUAGCCUUCCCCACAAACCCAGCAGAGAAUGUGCUGGGUAAUCAGGACAGGGAUACCUAUGGGAUGAUAUGAAAAAAAAAUGAAAUAAAGAUGACAACUGAGACAGGGUACUCAAA